rnacentral:lncRNA from 1 species
CCACGCUUCCGUUUACUGUUCAGAAGGUACAGAGGCCUCACUCCACUGAGACAGACGGCAGCAGCGUCUGAAAGGGGAGGGAGAAGAGAAGCGUGGCCAGAUGAUUGUGCCCCACAGAAACACAGUGAGAUGCCACCACAGUAUGGCUUGACAAGUGGUGCUCAGGUCUGCACCCAGGAUCCAAACCAGCGAACCCCAGGCUGCCGAAGUGGAGCAUGUGAACCCAACUGUUAUGCCACAGGGCAGGGCCCUGUCCUCGGUUUUUUGGGGGGAUGUGAGCUAUGGUCAUGACUGAUAUUCCUCCAUCUACACUCAAUCUUCUGGAUUAUUCUGUUUUUAUCAGGUGAAUCUGCAUUCAACAACCUUCAAUGGUUCCCCAGUGUCUACAAAAUAAAAACCAAACUCCUUGCUCUGUGUUGAGUGGAUGCACAAACCCUUGCUCCCCGAAAUACAGCUCUUCAGCUUUUUCCUCUGGGUGCCUUAUAGUAUUUUCCCUCCUUGCUUGUCCUGGUAAAUGUAUUUGAGUGGAAGACUCUAAUGCAUCCCUUCAGUCUACCCACACUUUCAAACUUAUACCUUCUUCCCUAGGCUGUUGUGGUCUCUACUGAUCUCUCUUUUUUUUCAACUGAGACAUAAUUGACAUAUAACAUUAUAUUCAUUUCAA